CACGUAGGGUGCGAGCGUUGUCCGGAAUUAUUGGGCGUAAAGAGCUCGUAGGCGGUGUGUCGCGUCGGCCGUGAAAACCUGUGGCUUAACUAUGGGCUUGCGGUCGAUACGGGCAUCACUGGAGUUCGGCAGGGGAGAAUGGAAUUCCCGGUGUAGCGGUGAAAUGCGCAGAUAUCGGGAAGAACACCCGUGGCGAAGGCGGUUCUCUGGGACGGUACUGACGCUGAGACGCGAAAGCGUGGGGAGCGAACAGG
rnacentral:rRNA from 1 species